GGGCGUUGGUUUGUCUUCCCUCUCCUCCUGCGAACAGGGCGUGGCUCCUUAGACAAUGAGAUUUGUCUAAUUUAGCAAAACCGAUUUCGAUUCCUAAAUAAAUCCUCUUCACUAAGUACCGUUCCACCUUCUGGUCAGAACUUUGCAUAGCUUAGUUCAGCACUCCUUGUGCUUAGUCGCGGUGGGUAGGUCGUACUAGCUAUCCGGAAGGGGUGAAAACACCGUACCGCCUCUGGGACCCACACCUCUGUAUCUCUUGUUAGUCGCCUAUCCGUGGGACUGGCGCAAAAGAUUUGCAAAUUUGUUUCCGUUGUUUCCUUUCAAAUAAAGAGAAGGAAGAAGGGGUGCGUGUGUGCAGUUUUCCCUAAAAGUUACUGAUAUACCAGGUUUUGAAACUACCAGUCCUCUCAGGUAAUAAAAUGGAGCGAAAUGGAUGUGAGAACCGUAACCACUAGAGACCGCGGUUGCUACUCAGGACUGUGAUCUACUUGCCUGCAGUCUUGGGAGAUAAUAUUUUACAUUUUUUUCCGACGUCUAAAAUCUAGAUUUUUUAUGUUAAAUCCAGGGAUUUUUAAGGUAAUGAAUUCAAAUUAAAAUCAGGCUGGGCGUGGUAGCUCACGCCAGCACUUUGAUGGGCGGGUCACAUUGAGGUCAGUAGUUCAAGACCAGCUUGGCCAACAUGGUGAAAACCAAUCGCGGUGGCUCACGCCUGUAAUCCCAGCACUUUGGGAGGCCGAGGCGGGUGGAUCACGAGGUCAAGAGAUCGAGACCAUCCUAGUCAACAUGGUGAAACCCCGUCUCUACUAAAAAAUACAAAAAAUGAGCUGGGCAUGGUGGCACGUGCCUGUAAUCCUACCUACUCGGGAGGCUGAGGCAGGAGAAUUGCCUGAACCCAGGAGGCAGAGGUUGCAGUGAGCCGAGAUCGCGCCAUUGCACUCCAGCCUGGGUAACAAUAGAGAAACUCCGUCUCAAAAAAUAAAUAAAUAAAUAAAUAAAUAAAAAUAAAAAGCCAGGUGUGGUGGCGGGCGCUUGUAAUCCCAGCAGUUUGGGAGGCUGAGGCAGGCCGACAGAUCACAAGGUCAGGAGUUUUGAGGCCAACCUGGCCAAUAUGGUGAAAGCCUGUCUCUACUAAAAAUAUAAAAAUUAGCUGGGCAUGGUGGCGUGCGCCUGUAGUCCCAGCUACUCAGGAGGCUGAGGCAGGAGAAUCGCUUGAACCCGGAGAGCAGAGGUUGCCGUGAGCCGGGAUCGAGCCACUGUACUCCAGCAUGGGCGACAGAGUGAAACUCCGUCUCAAAAAAAAGAAAAAGAAAAAAAAUCAAAUUGAAAUAAGCAGGAAUGCUUGGUCUUGUGUCUGUGGACCCUCAAUAUAUGCACAGAUGACGUUCGGUAGUCGAACUUUCUGUAAUAUUUUCCAAAGUUUUAUGCAUGUGUACAUCUACAAAAAUAUAUGCAUGUGUGUACUUUUUUCUAGGAAGAGGAUUUGAAAUUUUAAUCAAAUUCUUAAAGGAGUCCAUAGAUCCCAAAAGGGAAAAGAACUAUAUGUGUGUGUGUGUGUGUGUGUAUAUAUAUAUAUAUAUAUGUAUGUAUUUUUUUUUUGAGUCACCCAGGGUGGAGUGCAAUGAUGUGAUCUCAGCUCCCUGCAACCUCUGCUUCCCUGGCUCAAGCCAUUCUUGUGCCUCAGCCUUCCAAGUAGUUAGAAUUACAGACAUGUGCCACCAUGUCCAGCUAAUUUUUGUAUUUUUAGAAGAAACAGGGUUUUGCCAUGUUGGCCAGGCUGGUCUCGAACUCCUGGCCUCAAGUGAUCCACCAGCCUCAGCCUCCCAAAGUGGUGGGAUUACAGGCAUGAGCCCCUGAACCCAGCCAAUUUUUUUUUUUUUUUUAGACAGGGACUUGCUCUGUCAUUCAGGCUGGAAUGCAGUGGUACAAUCACAGCUCACUUCAGCCUCAACCUCCUGGACCCAAGCCAUCUUCCCACCUCAAUCUUCUAAGUAGCUGGGACUACAGCUACAAAAAAUGCAAAAUCACUACAGAAAAUACAAAAAUCAGUCUGAAGCGGUGGUACGUACCUGUAACUUUAGUAGAGUACGUACCUGUACCACCGCUUCAGACUGAUUUUUGUAUUUUUUAUGGUGAUGGUGUCUUGCCAUGUUACCUAGGCUGCUCUCGAACUCCUGAAGUCAUGUGAUCCUCCUGUCUUAGCCUCCCAAAAGGGAGGGAACUACAGGUGUGAGCCACUGUGCCUGGCCAGAGCCUGAAUUUUUUUUUUUUUUUUUUUUUUUGAUGAGGACCAAAAGAGAUACUAUUUCAACAAAUUUAAUGUUUCUAGCAUUGUUCCAUUAAGUGAAUGGCAGAAAAGAGGAGAGUUCUAAAAAACUUGCAGCCUUUUGAUUCUUUUAUUCAAAGUUAUUUGCUGGACACAUUUUCUUUCUGUUCUUUUCUCCAUCAAUUUAAAUUUAUACAGGCAAAUCUUCUGUUAAUUAAUGAUAAGCCAAUAAUUGGGUAAUUCAUUUUAAGAAGAGAUGAAGGGCCGAGUGUGGUGGCUCCUGCCUGUAAUCCCAGCACUUUGGGAGGCCGAGGUGGGCAGAUCACAAGGUCAGGAGUUUGAGACCAGCCUGGCCAACAUGAUGAAACCCCGUCUCUACUAAAGUUACAAAAAAUUAGCCAGGCGGACCCCUGUAAUCCCAGCUACUCAGGAGGCUGAGGCAGGAGAAUCGCUUGAACCUGGGAGGCAGAGGUUGCCGUGAGCAGAGAUCGAGCCACUGCACUCUAGCCUGGGUGACAGGGUGAGACUUCAUCUCAAAAAAAAAGGAAUGAGACAAUACACAUAGGUACUUUUAAUUUCAAGGUAUUUUCAUUUCUGACAAAUAUAAUUGAAUUUGCUUUUUUUUGGCGAUGGAGUCUUGCUCAGUCACCCAGGCUGGAGUACAGUGGCAGGAUCUCAGCUCACUGCAACCUCUUUCUCCCAGGUUCAAGCAAUUCAUGCCUUAGCAUCCCCAGUAGCUGGGACUACAGGUGUGUGCCACCACACCUGGGUAAUUUUUGUAUCUUUAGAAGAGAUGGGAUUUCACCAUUUGGCUAGGCUGGUCUCUAACUCAUGACCUCAAGUGAUCUGCCCACUUUGGCUUCCCAAAGUGCUAGGAUUACAGGCAUGAGCCACCAUGCCCAGCCUGAAUUUGCUUUAAUUUCUUGUCCGUCUAAUUUAACAUAGUCAUUUCCGAUUUUGUUCAGUUCAGCAGAAUACAAAAUAGAACUUAAUUGAGAGUGAAUGGGACAUUUUUAUUUCUCUAUUGGAAUCUUUUUUUUCUAUUUGAAUGUAACCAACUGUUCAGGAGUUGAUGAUGAGGUCAGUAUAUGGCAGGAAAAGUCUUGACAGCUGUUUUAUCAGGUCUCCCUGGAUGGUGUUAGCUUGGUGAUGAUUACAAUUAAGGCUGUUACCAGUUGUCCACAGUUAACACAUUUCAGCUCACAAGAGUAAACAUCAAAAAAGCAAAUAAAAACUUAUUUGGAAAUAAGAACAAAACAAGGUGAAUCAUUUUGAGGGAUAUUUCAUUCAGAUCAUGGUGAUACUUGAUAAAUGAUCCCUGCCCCACCACAAAGUAUUUCUCUCAAAGACAGGAAAAUUCAUAGCCUCUGGAUUCUGUGUCUCUGUUCCUUGGACAGUGCUGGGUAAAGACUGGCAAUGCUCUUUCUACAGGCUAAUCUUCACACAUUUCUUUAAACAAUAUACUAGAUGGUUGAUUCCUUUUGUGAUGAGCAUAUUACACCCAGUUAUAGUUUUGCCUCCUAAGAUUACAUCCUCAUCUUAAUAGGAGUUUGAGGGUUUUCUAAAUUCCUUAGUUAUACAUUCACUAGCAAUUUUAUGGAUUGCUCUCACCAACCAGCUGAUUUAGUAAGUAUGGACUUUACCAGCUUCACUGUUGGAAGCAACCUAAUUUUUAACCCUAUUGUGUGGUGGAAAAGUUAGUUACUCCAAGAGAAACUUUUUAAAUACUUUUGAUUCAAUCUAAUAAUCUCAGGAGGAGACUUGUCAAAAGUUCAUGGAAAAUGCGUAUUAUGAAUAAAUCAUACAUGGAUUUCAAAAUUGUUUUACACCAAAAUAAACCCAUACUAACUUGUUAUAACAUGUAUGAACAGGAACUAGUUUGAGGUACUAAGAAGGAUAAGACGUAUGUUUGAAAAGAGCCCCUAUCAAAGCAACAUGUACUCUGCUAAAAUUGAAGCAAGGACAAACAUCAAACUUAUGGUGAACUUUGGGUGAAAUAAUGGUGAAAUCAUUAAUUCUUUACAAAAAGUUUAUGGGCACAAUGCCUCAAAGAAAUCAGUAUUUUAUAAUUGGAGAGUUCAUUUUAAGAAAGGAUGAGACAGUGUUGAAGAGGAAGCCAGCAGUGUCAGACGACCCACAUCAGUUUGCAAGGAAAAAAUUAAUCUUGUCAUGCUUGAAGACCAUAAUGUAUACAGUGGUCCAUUUCCAAGACAAAAUGCCUCGGCUUAGGUCAGCAAACUACAGAAGAAACGGAACAUACUAGGCCCCUGUUUGGAUAGCCACUGACUGCUUGUCAGUCUCCCUCUUUCUCCCAUAUUUCUUUCCCCUCUUAGUUGCCUUCACCCAAACUAAAAAAGUUUUGUCUAAAAUGAAGUCUGCAAAAUAGCUCACUUUGUCUACUCUUAUCAGCCUGCCCAGCUACUUAGGUCAUAAGUUAAAUACUUGAAAAGCACCUGAGCUAACUAGGAUUGCAAUGCAUUGUGGGCUGCAAUAAAAUGCAGCAAGACAACCUUAAAAAAAAAAAUCUAAACCCUCUGCCUAAUAAUCAAUAGGUGACAUCUGGGGAAGAUUGUGACCCCAUAGUACUCAGCCUUUGAGAAACCCGGGGUGGGACCUGCGCAAGUAGAGGAUAAGUUGUUUGUUAAAACUGUGCUGGGCCAGGCGCUGUGGCUCAUGCCUAUUAUCCUAGCACUUUGGAGGGCCUAGGCAGGUGGAUCACUUUAUGUCAGGAGUUCGAGACCAGCCUGGCCAACAUGGCAAAACUCCGUUUCUACUAAAAAUAUAAAAAUUGACUGGGUGCGGUGGCUCACACCUGUAUUCCCAGCAUUUUGGGAGGCCUAGGUGGGUGGAUCACAAGGUCAGGAGUUUGAGACUGGCCUGACCAACAUGGUGAAACCCUGUCUCUACUAAAAAUAAAAAAAAUCAGCUGGGUGUGGUGGCGCACACCUGUAAUCCCAGCUACUCGGAAGGCUAAGGCAGGAGAAUCACUUGAGCCCAGGAGGCAGGGGUUGUAGUGAGCUGAGAUCAUGCCACUGCACUCCAGCCUGUGACAGAGAUUAUGUCUAAAAAAAAAAAAAAAUUAUCAGGGCUUGGUGGUUGACACCUAUAAUCCUAGCUACUUGGGAGGCUAAGGCAGAAGAAUCGCUUGAACCUGGGAGAUGGAGGUUGUAGUGAGCUGAUAUGCCACUGCACUCCAGCCUGGGUGACAAGAGCAAAAUUUCAUCUAAAAAAAAAGAAGACACCCAGUCUUGCAAGACCAUCCUUAAAAGUCUCACUUUUUCUGUCCUCUGGCUCUCUGAGUUCAUUCUUUGGGUUUGGACAGGUAAGUUUGUUUCUCACAUGCUCUCAUAGAAGACAACCAACAAUUAAUAGCAGAAACCAAAAUAAACUAACACCAUAGACAUCUCAGUUGGGUUGGCUUACACAAUUCUAACUGAAAAAUUUAAGCUGAGCAAAUUUUCCACUCAAAGGUUGCUAAAACUGUACAAUGGAUCAGCUGCACACAAGAGCAGUGCUUUCUAUGGAGAUUUUAAACAAGUGCAAUCAAGAUCCCGAAGCACUUCUUUGAAGAAUUAUAUCAGGAGAUAAAACAUGGCUUUACCAGUCCAAUCCUGAAGGCAAAGCACAACCAGAACAAUGGAUACCAGGAGGUGGAAGUAGUCCAGUCAAAGCAAAAAUGGACCAGUCCCAAAGCAAAGGUCAUGACAUCAAUUUUUGUUGGCUGCUCAAGACAUUUUCUUGUUGACUUUCUGGAAUGAAUAAUAUGUGCUUAUUAUGAGAACAAACAGAUAUAAGAAAGUUAGCCAAAGCUUUAGCAAAAAAAAAAAAAAAAAAAAUGCCCAGGAAAGCUUCACCAGAGAGUUCCCCACAAUGACAAUACUGCUCAUUCCUCUCAUCAAGCAAGGGCAAUUUUGCAAGAGUUUUGAUGGGAAAUGAUUAAGUAUCCACCUUGCAGUCUUAUUUUAUUUAUUUAUUUAUUUAUUUAGAGAUGGAAUUUUGCUCUUGUUGCCCAGGCUGGAGUGCAAUGGCUGGAUCUUGGCUCACUGCAACCUAUGCCUUCUGGGUUCAAGCAAUUCUCCUGUCUCAGCCUCCUGAGUAGCUGAGAUUAUAGGCAUCCACCACUACACCCGGCUCAUUUUUGGAAUUUUUAGUAGAGACGGGUUUUACCAUGUUGACCAGGAUGGUCUUGAACUCCUCCUGUCUUGGCUUCCCAAAGUGCUGGGAUUACAGGCAUGAGCCGUGUGCCUGGCCCAUCUAGCAGUCUUUAUUUGACUCCUUCUGACACCUUUUUGUUUCCUAAUCUUUAAAAAUGUGUAAAUGGCAUUUCUUUUUUUUUUUUUUUUUUUUUUUUUUUUAAUAAUGUGAAAAAGGGCUGGGCCUGGUGGCUCACACCUGUAUCUCAGCACUUUGGGAGGCCAAGGCAGGCAGAUCACCUGAGGUCAGAAGUUCAAGACCAGCCUGGCCAACAUGGUGAACCCGUCUCUACUAAAAAUACAAAAAAAAAAAAAAAAAAAAAAUAGCCUGGAAUCAGCCACUUGGGCGGCUGAGGUGAGAACUGCUUGAACCCAGGAGGUAGAGGUUGCAGUCAGCCGUGAUUGCUCCACUGCACUCCAGCCUGGGCAACAGAGUGAGACUCCAUCUCAAAAAAAAAAGUGAAAAAGAAUACAUUGACAUGGUUAAAUUCCCAGGACCUGAAGUUCUUUAGGGAUGGACUAAAUGGCUGGUAUCAUUACUUAAAAAGUGUCUUGAGCUUGAUGGAGAUUUUAUGGAGAAAAAGUUUUUAUUUUUAUAUUUUAAUUCCAUUUUUUUCCAUAAACUUCUUGAAGUUCCCUCAUAUUAGUGUCAGCACCAUACUUUGCACUGAAAAUGAUUACUUGUGGGUUGGGGGAGAAGAAAGAAAUUCAGAGUCAAUUGCUGUAAGAGCUGAAAUCAUGAGACACAAUUUUUCAAUUAUUUGCUUUCUACUCAAAACUCCACCUGUGGUGAUAGUUACAUAAAUGUGCAUAUAUUUAAAAUCAUGCAUUGUUUACUUAAAGCAGACGAAUUGUAUGGUAUGUAAAUUAUGACUCAAUAACAUUGUUUUGUUUUUUUAAUGACUGGGGAAAUAAACCUCUGUAUCUCCACCAUCAGCAAAAUCUCUCUCCAGUGUCAUUCCUCCAAAUGUAUUAUUGGGAGUAGGGGAAGUCCGAGAGAAAUUUGCACUGAAAUAUGGCUUUCCUAAUCUGGAAACUCUGUUUCCAACAUUUGUUGUGCCAAUCCCUACUGUUUUCUGUGCAGAUAACUGUUAUUUUUACUACCAGGUAAAGAGACACUUAGAAAGUUGGGAGUACCAGUCGAUUCCACUGUGUACAGGAGUUUACUUCCAGAAACAAUUCACUGGGAAGAUUCUCUGUUCCCUUACGCCACUUGAUUCAGGGGUAAAUAUUCUCUGAAAAGGAAAGAAAUCGUGUAUUUUAAAUUUUCAUUUUUGUCUCAUCUUCCCUAGUAAACUAUGUUGAGGAGAUUUCUGCUGUAAUGUCCUUUAUUACUAGUACAUUAUCUGUUAAAAAUGGGUAUUAUUGACUACUGACUGCUCUUUGAAAAAGGUGGGAAGUUAGGUGAGCAGAAUAUUGUUUCUAUGGAAACUUAAUCAUGUUGCUGUCAGUGAAUAGACACAAUGGGUACAAGAAUUGUUUUUCUUUUCUUUUUUUUUGAGAUGGAGUCUUUUUCUAUUGCCCAGGCUGGAGUGCAAUGGCACAAUCUCGGCUCACUACAACCUCUGCCUCCCGUGGUCAAGCGAUUCUCCUGCCUCAGCCUCCUGAGUAACUGGGAUUCCAGGUGCAUGCCAGCAAAUUUCCUCUUUGCUGUUGUAAAAGGUAUUCCAGGUUAGGUGAGCCAACGUCUCUGAGGAUUACCGUUUUUCCUCUUUACUGUUUAAAAGGUAUUCCGGCUAAUUUUUGUAUGUUUUAUAGUUAGUAAUUUUUUAAUAAUUAGUAAUACCAGCUACUCGGGAGGCUGAGGCAGGAGAAUCACUUGAAACCAAGAGGUGGAGGUUUCAGUGAGCCAAGAUCGCACCAUUGCACUCUAGCCUUGGUGACAGAGCAAGACUCUGUCUAAAAAAAAAAAAAAGAAAGAAAAGAAAAAAAAUAUUAUGAAAAUAUGUAUUUUCACUAUGUUUUUCUUUUCCUGUUACUAUUAUAACUUGCCCUCCCCUCUUUCUGCUUAGUUCUUUCUUUUUAAAAUCAAAGUCCAAUUCAAAUUGCACAUUUCCUAAUUAGAGUAGGUGGCUCUUUAAGGUCCUAUAAAAACAUACUGCAGAUAUGCUUUUGUUUGUUUGUUUUUUUGGGGUGGAGUCUUGCUCUGUCAGCCAGGGUGGAAUGCAGUGGUGCGAUCUCGACUCACUCUAACCUCCACCUCCCUGGUUCGAGCAGUUCCCCAGCCUCAGCCUCCCGAGUAGCUAGGAUUACAGGUACACAUCACCAUACCCAGCUAAGUUCUUUUUGUAUUUUUAGUAGAGAUGGGUUUUCACCAUGUUGGCCAGACUGGUCUCAGGCAAUCAGCCUCCUACAGAACUGGGAUUACAGCUGCGAGCCACUGCACCCGGCCAAAGAUAGCUUUAAUUGCUAAAAAUGCUACCGUUGUUUUUGUGAUUCUUCUUUUUUUUUUGAGACUGUAUCUCGCUCUGUUGCCCAGGCUGGAGUGCAGUGGUGCAAUCUCUGCUCACUGCAACCUCUGCCUCCCGGGCUCAAGCAGUUCUCCUGCCUCAGCCUCUGCAUAGCUGGGAUUACAGGCACGAGCCACCUUGCCCAGCUAAUUAUUUAUUUAUUUAUUUAUUUAUUUAUUUAAAGACGGGUUUCACCAUGUUGGUUAGGCUGGUCUUGAACUCCCGACCUCAGAUGAUCCGCCCACCUUGGCCUCCAAAGUGCUUGGAUUACAGGGGUGAGCCACCACGCCCGGCCAGCCCAGCUAAUUUUUUUUUUUUUUUUUUUGAGACAGAGUUUCACUCGUUACCCAGGCUGGAGUGCAAUGGCGUGAUCUCAGCUCACUGCAACCUCCACCUUCCUGGGUUCAAGGAAUUCUCCUGCCUCAGCUUCCCGAGUAGCUGAGACUACAGGCAUGCACCACCAUGCCCAGCUAAUUUUUGUAUUUUUAGUAGAGACGGGGUUUCACCAUGUUACCCAGGCUGGUCUUGAACUCCUGACCUCAGGUGAUACACCAGUCUUGGCCUCCCAAAGUGCUGAGAUUACAGGGCUGAGCCACCGCACCUGGUCGUUUUUAUGAUUCUUAUACUGUGAAUUCUAUUUAAUGUUAGCUAUCUUUAUUAAUAGUAAUAGUGGUAUCCUAUGUUACUGCUGCCAUCAAGCAUGUUUGAAAAUUAAUUUUAAUAAAGUUUUUGGUUUGAAGUUUUGAGUAUGUGACAGUUUUCCUCUUUGCUGUUGUAAAAGGUAUUCCAGGUUAGGUGAGCCAACGUCUCUGAGGAUUACCGUUUUUCCUCUUUACUGUUGUAAAAGGUAUUCCAGGUUAGGGGAGCCAACGUCUCUGAGGAUUACCGUUUUUCCUCUUUGCUGUUUAAAAGGUAUUCCAGGUUAGGUGAGCCAACGUCUCUGAGGAUUACCGUUUUUCCUCUUUGCUGUUUAAAAGGUAUUCCAGGUUAGGGGAGCCAACGUCUCUGAGGAUUACCGUUUUUCCUCUUUGCUGUUGUAAAAGGUAUUCCAGGUUAGGGGAGCCAACGUCUCUGAGGAUUACCGUUUUUCCUCUUUGCUGUUUAAAAGGUAUUCCAGGUUAGGUGAGCCAACGUCUCUGAGGAUUACUUUUGUAUAUUUACUUGCAGAACCACUUCGGAGCUUACCAGACCCAGAGCACUGGGCCAGCAAACUAUGACCUCUGACCCAUGGCCUGUUCUUUGGAAUGUCCAUGAGUUACGAAUGUCUUUUACAUUUUUCAAUGGUUUUAAAAAAACACACAAAAGAAUAAUAUUUUGUGCAUGUGAAAAUUCUAUGAGAAUCAAAUUUCAGUGUCCAUAUAUAAGUUUUACACAGCCAUGCCCACUUGUUUACAUACUGUCUAUGGCUGGUUUCAUGCAACAAAGGCAGAGUUGUUGCAACAAAGAGCUCAUGGCUCUCAAGCCUAAAACAUUUACUAUCUGACCCUUUACAGAAACAAUUUGUCAACCCCUUACCACAAGGAAAAUAAUAACCUGCUUUUGUCAUUUGUGCUUAACCUCAUUCAAAUAUUCAGCUUUGCCAUGCAUGUCCUUUUCCUCUUGCAGAUGUUUCUGUCAUGGGUAAUAUAUUAAUAGUUGCAAACAUAAAUAAUGAACCUUUCCAAGUGAUAAGUUGCUUACAUGUGUUUCAUCAGCCGCUACUAUAGUACAGUGAUAAGUUACUGAUAGCUGCUGGAAAGAAAUUCUCCUGCCCAUCUGCCCUGCCUAGAAAAGGAGGUGUGGCUUUACUGCCACUGGAUUUCUUUUUUUCUUUUUUUUUUUUUUAGUCUAGUUGAUCAAAAUUGUUCACUGAUGGCAGGUUUCUGUAACCAUUCUUGCAUUGAAGUAAUGUGGCACACAAUGAGUCCAUAACAGGUUUUGUUCUAAGUACAUAUUAGUGUCCACUCACUGUGGAAUUUGCAGGUGAAAUUUCCAAAAUGUUCCUAUUGUUUUUCUACAGUUCUGGGAUCACUCACUCUCAGGCUGGUCCUGGUGCCACCACCCUGGCCCCAGGAGGCUCCUAGAUGUGGUUACAGUUUACAGUCCAGACCCACAUCCAGGGGGUCCUUCUUUGCCUCCCAUGUGUCUCCAUGUGGCCAGGAGCCACUCUGCUCACCAGCUACAAUUUACUCCAAGUUAAUUUCUACUCUAUCAAAUUCAGACACCAAGGGAGAAAAAAAAUCUUUCCCCUGGCUCUGAGUCUCCAGUUUUUUGGAGAUCAGCCUGGGAAACAUAGCAAGAUCCUGUACACACACACACAUAUACACACACACAAACAACAAGGGAGGCACAUGCUAGUAGUUUUAGCUACUCAGGAGGCUCACACUGGAGGAUCACUGGAGCCCAGAAGUUCCAGUCAGCAGGAAGCUGUAAUUGCACCUGCACUCCAGCCUAGCAACAGAGUGAGACUGUGUCUGGAAAAAAAAAAAUUUGCAUUCAGAAAAAAAGCUUUCUUUAUCUUUUCCCAAGACAAAUGAGUGUUGCUUUUAAUUUGUGCAACUAAAGAGCCCCUUUAGGGAAACUUCCUAACACAAAAGAAACAGUCUGCCCUAAAGGAUUAUUCAUGUCUUCCACCUCUGUAGAUACAGUAAGGGCUUAUCACCUUACUAUACGUUUUCUUAGCCUCAACUAAAUCCAGGCUAGAAAAAAAUUACAGGCAUUUGCCUGUUAAUAAUGUUAGGUCAUAAUUCUAGUGAGUUUCUUUCUUUCUUUCUUUUUCUUUUUUUUUUUUUAAGACAGAGCUUCGCUCUUGUUGCCCAGGCUGGAGUGCAAUGGCACCAUCUCUGCUCACCGCAACCUCCUCCUCCCGGGUACAAGCUAUUCUCCUGCCUCAGCCUCCUUAGUAGCUGGGAUUACAGGCAUGCGCCACCACAUCUGGCUAAUUUUGUAUUUUUAGUAGAGACAGGGUUUCUCCAUGUUGUUCAGGCUGGUCUCAAACUCCCGACCUCACGUGAUCCGCCCGCCUUGACCUCUCAAAGUGCUGGGAUUACAGGCGUUAGCCACCGCUCCUGGCUUCUCUAGUAAGUUUCUUAUAAAUUCUUAAUUACUUCGCAAAUACACAUAUGAAAAUCUGGGGCUCUAUUUACAUUUCCAAUCUGACAAUAUAGCCUUAAAAUUAUCUAGUUGCAGUUGAGAAAAUACACUUCUCUAUAAAUUUAUACAGGAAUCUGUAUUCAACUAUUUGAAUGCUAAAGCCAUGCCCCAACAGAUUCAGUCUUCCCCAGAGAACAUCAAUCAUUGUUGAGACUUUGUAUAAAUAAAGUGCUUGACUGGGAGACUGGGUGACAUGGUGAAACCCCAUCUCUACAAAAAAUACAAAAAUUAGCCAAGCAUGGCGGCACGUGCCUGUGGUCCCAGCUACUUGGGAGGCUGAUGUGGGAGGAUUGCUUGGACCUGGGAGGUGGAGGUUGCGGUGAGCCAAGAUUGUGCCACUGCCCUCCAGCCUGGGCUACAGAGCGAGACCCUGUUUAAAAAAAAAAGAAAACUUGUUUGGGGAUGGUAUAAAUGAAUAGAGGGUCUCACGAAGCAUGGUUUGCACUGUACUAAGUUAUUAAUAUUAAAACAGUUUCCAAGGUUUACACUACUGUAAACAGAAAAUAAAGAUACCUAUAUCAGCCAGCUUCUGCUGGGUAAGGCUGCAGUAAUAACUUCAAACAUUUCAGUGGCUUAAGAAAAUAACCAACAUCUGCUUCUUGCUUAUUGGCAGCCACAAGUUGGCAGAGUCACAGCCCGUGUAUCUUAUCACUAAAAGGCAUGAUGCUGCAGUGGAAAGAUGGGCUUUGAACAAGAUGGAUUUGGGUUUAAAUCCCCAAUACCACUUCGUACUUGUGUGAUCUUGCACAACUCUCUUAACCUACUUAAGCCUCUGUUUCUUCAUCUAAUAAAUGGGGACAUUAACAGCACUUAUAAAGCUGUUGUGAAGAUUAAGUUAAAUAACAUGGAAAUCAACUAGUCGUAGAGUGCCCUGCACAUAGAGUAGCACUCUAUGCUCUGCAAUACUCUGUGCCCUGCACCAUAAUAAACAGUGGUUCUUAUUCAGGCUGCAAAAACUUAUUCCCUUGCUUUUCAACAUUUGUGGUUAGACUGAUCAACUUUACUGUUCUUCAGAGGAAGGAAUAAGAUGUGAAAUUCAAGUCAGUCUGUCUUAUGACUAAUGAGAUAUUGUGAGGCUGGGCACAGUGGCUCAUGCCUGUAAUCCCAGCACUUUGGGAGGCUGAGGCAAGCAGAUCACUUGAGAUCAGGAGUUCGAGACCAGCCUGACCAACAUGUUGAAACCCCGUCUCCACCAAAAAUACAAAAAAUUAGACAGGUGUUGUGGUGUGUACCUAUAAUCCCAGCUACUCAGGAGGCUAAGGUGGGAGAAUCGCUUGAACCCAGGAGGCAGAGGUUGCAGUUAGCGGGGAUUGUGCCACUGCACUCCAGGCUGGGUGACAGAGCAAGACUCUGUCUCAAAAAAAAUUAAAAAAAUAUAUGGAUAAAUAGCUUAGUGGGAAAGAAGUUUGAAGUUCUUGCCUAAAUUGAGGUUUUUGUUUUGUGUUUUAGGGGUGGAAAUAUGGCCUGUGUUGAAAAAAAAGUUGAGAAAUUCUUUCCGUAUGUUACAUACAGAAACAGAUGUGUCCCUGGCUACAGAGGACUUGACCUCUAAUGCUACCACUGGAGGAAAUAUGAUGUAGUUCUUUGGCCUAAGUUUCCAAAGAAUAUCUCCCUACUGGAAAAGCUCACAGAAUGAAUUGCUGCACACUAACAAUAUCCCCAGAGAAGCAAAUGAUGAUCUGCUUUACUUUGGAGCAGGCGAUGGUUUUCAGAUUUGACACCAAGAGCAGAAGUGACGAAAGAAAAAAUAGACAAAUAACACUUCAUCAAAAGUAAAAGCAUCACAGGCUUCAAAGGACACCAUCAAGAAAGUGAAAAUACAACCCACAGAAUGGGAGAAAAUAUUUGCAAACCAUCUCUCUGAUGACAGUCUAAUAUCCAGAUUAUUAUUAUUACAACUCAAUGAUAAAAGGACAGGGCUGGGUGCAGUGGCUCACGCCUGUAAUCCCAGCACUUUGGGAGGCCAAGCUGGGAGGAUUGCUUGAGCCCAGGAGUUUGAAGCCAGCCUGGGUGAGAUGGUGAGGCCCCCUCUGUAAAAAAUUUAAAAAUUAGCUGGGUAUGAUGGUGCACACUUGUCCCAGCUACUCAGGAAGCUGAGGUGAGAGGAUCACUUGAGCCCAGGAACUGGAGGUAGCAGUCAGCCAAGAUCGCACCACCCCAUGCCAGUCUGGGCAACCUCACCUACCCCUCUCUUCCCUUCUCUGAUCCAAGCCAUUUCUUCCUCAGCUCCCUUAAUCAAUGACAGGAGGCUCUUCUUGUCUCGGUGUCAGAUUUCCCCUUUAGCAAAAUCUUAAACAAAACAAAGCAAAACAGUAAAUGCUAACAGUAUUCGUUUCUUCACAGCUUCCUAAAGCUUGACUUAGCACUACUUCCCUGGGUCUGCCAUUUACCAAGCUCUCCCUGAAUUAGUCCUACCAUUGAUUCACUAUUACUCUAUGGGUUUUCCUUUGCUUAUCUGUAAAGAGAGAAUUCAAGGGUGAAUGGAGUCCAGGUCCUCUCACCCUCCUGCCCUGCCCCAGUUCUUACAUUUUACCUUCACCAUCUCUUAAGCUUUCCUUUAUAUUUAUUUUUGAGAUGGAGUCUUGCUCUGUCAUCCUGGUUGAAGUGCAGUGUUGCAAUCUCAACUCGCUGCAACCUCUGCCUCCCGGGUUCAAGCGAUUCUCCUGCCUCAGCCUCCCAAGUAGCUAGAACUACAGGUGGCCACCACCAUGCCUAGCUAAUUUUUUUAUUUUUAUUUUUAGAAGAGAUGGGGUUUCACCACGUUGGCCAGGCUGGUCUUGAACUCCUGGCCUCAAGUGAUCUGCCUGCCUCAACCUCCCAAAGUGCUGGGAUUAGUGCUGCCUGCCUCGGCCUCCCAAAGUGCUAGGGUAGGUAGAUGGAGGGAUGCUUUGGAACUCAUGUUGAAGGCAGGAGAUGAGGAGAACAAGGAUUAGAUCCUGGACCCUUGCAUUCUGUGUGUUCUCUCAUUAUCAAACCUCACUCUCAGGAGCACAAAGCUGAGUGACUGUGUGCACUUGGUGUGGUUAUUUAUACCUUAACAUACUAUGAAUCACCUGUGCCAAGCAUUGUGUUAAGGGCUUUACAUGCAUUAUUUUAUUUAAUCUUCAGAUAAUCCUAUUGUUGUUUUUCACUUUAUAGGUAAUAAACUAAAGGCUUAACCAGAGAAGUUACGACUCUAGCCCAUGGUCAUCCAGCUACUAGAACAGCUGUCUAGGAUUGUUACCCAGGGAGCCCAGUCCUUAAUGCAAAUGUUUACAUUUCUGAUGCUCCUAUGUCCAUCUGAAUACGUUUGUCAGAUGGACUUAUGAUUGAAAGUGAGGGUAGGCACUGUGGUCCUUGAUUCCCCAGAAUGGAACUAGAACAGUUGCCAAGAGCAGAUAAGCAGGCAAAAUCUCAAUGUCUUUGGCAAGGUUCUUGUUAUGGGUAGUCUUUAGCCUUUCCUAAGUGAUGAAAAUUUAGUCAAAAAAUAUUCCAGCUAAGCUUCUACCCUUUCUCUCUCUUAGAAUCCUAUUCUUCUCUUAGCCAGGCAUGGUGGCGCACGCCGGUAGUCCCAGGACUUGGGAGGCUGGGGCAGGAGGAUCACCUGAGCCUGAGAGGUUGAGGCUGCAGUGAGCUGAGACUGUGCCACUGCAUUCCAGCCUGGGCAGCAGAGCAAGACCUUGUCUCUCUUUAAAAAAAAAAAAAUCUAUGGGCCUGGAAUUAUCUAAAAUUUAGGUUCACUUGGGCCUAGAAUUGCCUUUUAGGUCAUGGGAUUUAGGUUCAUUUGGGUCUGGAAUUACCACUUGAGUCUGGUCCCAAGUGAACUAGAUGUCUCCAGAGACGGAAGAGAGACAUAUAAUGAUCCCUCCACCUACCUACCCUUCAGCACCAUGCUAUAAAAAUAAGAAGUACAUACAGGUAGCAGUAUGAUGAGUCAUAAUGAGUGGCCCUUAGGAAAGGCUUAAGAGGGCUGAGCAUGGGGACUCAUGCCUGUAAUCCCAGCACUUUGGGAGGCCAAGGCGGGCAGAUCACUUGAGACCAGGAAUUGGAGACCAGUCUGGCCAACAUGGUGAAACCCCAUCUCCACUAAAAAUACAAAACUUAAAUCCCAUGAUAGAUCAUUUUAUCUUUUGUGUCACCCCUCUAAAUAUGAUUUCUCUUCUUGGGUUUUCAGCAGAGAUGAAGGAGAGACAUAUAAUGAUUAUACAAACAUUUUAAUUACUGAGUUGAGACUGUAUUCAGACAUAAGCUGACUGGGCAGUCAUAGAAUUUUUGAGCUGGAAAAGAAAACUUCAAAAUUAUCCAGUCUAAUAAUUUUCUGAUAGAAGAAAGAAGAACUAAAGAUGGAAGCUGCUUCCUGUAGGUCGCAGGUCUGAAGAGGGGCAGUCAGAGGAGGUGACUGGACCUCACAGCGUAGUUCACUGCCAGCAUCUCUGGCUCACGUGCCUGAGGCUUGUGGAAAUCUGUGCCCUGGGAGAAGUGUGUGAACAGGUCAGAGGGAAACUUGAAUCCUGUUCAGGGCCAGUAAAGAGAGAGGUGCAGCCACAGAAGAAGGAGGGCUGUACAGGAGAAAAGCCUCAGAGAAAGUCAAAAAGGUAGAUGAGUUGAGCCCUCCUAGGGCAGGAAGAUCUAUAUUUGAGAAAUGGAAAAGGUUUAAACAGGGAUUCAGGGAUAUUAAUCUGGUGGUGUUUUGCCAGCCGCAUUUGAGGAGGAAAAUUUUGAGGCAAGGAGGCUGCUGGGGACACUACUGCAGUGGGCAGGAGUGUGCCAGAGGGUUCCACUCUUGGCACUUUUACAUUUUACUUCCUCAUGCUGCUUGUAUGACUGAGUAUGUAUGUGAUGGGGCAAGGAGAGGGGGCCUGGGGGGUAGUUCUCAGCUUGAUGCUCAGCUUGAAUUCAGACUUGCUGGGACAUGUCUGAUGAACCUGUUGGAUUGCCUUCCAGAUGCAUGACCACUGCACACCUUGAGUAAUUUCCACAUGCUCUAUUUCCAUCCUUCCUUGCCCACCAGCGUGCUUCAGCUGGAGUGAGUCUGCUUACACGAGGCAGUCAGAUGUACAAAGAGGCUAUUGAUGGCACACUGCAAACAAAGAAGCCAGUGGCACCAACGGCUCAACCCCUCUUCAACCCAGCUCAGGGCAGAAUUUCUCCCAUCGGGACAAAUGGAGCAGAUUCUGUGCUCAUGGGUACUCUUGUACCGAGGCUCAGCUGCAGAAUUCUCCAUCUCUCCUGUCCGAGGCAAGCCGGCAGAGUUUUGAGUCUCAGGGCAUCCUCAGAAUAGGCCAGUCGUGUUCCACCAGCUGCAGACCGAGACAAAUGCCUGACCUUGGGUAACAAUUUCCCCAGGCCCGUAGAAGCUGGUCUGCUCGUGCCUGGAUGCUUCCCUGAAGGCGGUGACGUCGAGAGUGGAGGUCUAUCUCUCACUGGCCUAUCUCUUCCCAAUGGCCGAACAUCAUCCCAGGAGUGAGGUCUAUUUACAAAUGGCAUAACUGUUUCUAGCAUUUGUAGCAGAGCAGUUUAACAAAUCAGUACAUUCUUUGAACAGCUGUUAAAUUAAACAAGCAUAACUCAUGAGUUGCAUUUAUAAAGAAACUCAAGUUUCCUCUUUCAUUAACCCUUUAAAUUUGGUGAAGCUGACAUGUCGCCUGCACCUGGAUAAACAUUCAAGCAGAUUCCAUGCCUUUCUAGGCUUUUCUUAGUCACCUUAUGUCUGAAUACAGUCUCAACUCAGCAAUUAAAAUGUUUAUAUAAUUGUUAAAAUUCCAAAUAUGCCAUAAAUUGAGGCUUCUCCCCUCUUCUUUAGUUCUGAAGGGGCACUUAGAGGAGGGGCACUUUUGUCCCUUCUUUCCCUUCUUUUAAACUGUGAUUUCUGAUCCACGCAGUGGGAAGAAGCAGAAAAGCUUCCAUGUGAUUGGUCCUGGUGUGAGGAUCUGGCAGGGAGGUUCCCUGUAUUUCAUGCUGACACUUUUGUUGUUGCUUUCGGUCCCCCCCAUUGCUGGAGCCCUCUCAAUUCAGGUGAUAUACUUUCCUCAGGCUCUUUGCUUACUCCGUCCACAUCCCUAGGAAUCUGGCCACACCUCCAGCUUCUCUUGGCUGGAAUCUCUUUGUCCCUCCAGGCUACCGUCUCGUCUCGAGUAGAGUUCUCUGACCACAUCAGGCCAGUCCCCUCUCUCAGUCAUGGCUCCCACCUUUGCCCCAACAACGCUGUGAGUACAGUUACUUCCCAUGUGCAACCCUCUACUCUGCUGCCAUUUUGGUUGACACCUGUGAUUGAGAUAGGCAUGGGGUAGGACUCACAGCACAACAGCUCUCUCUCCCAAGAAAUUCUCAUCUAAAUCUUCCUCUCAACUCUUUUGUAUCAUAUAUAUUCUUGGCCACUUUGUAAAUCCUGGUCUAGCACUUCACUCUGGAAUUUGGUAUCUAUUUGUGAUUAAGCUAAAAUUCCUAUUUUAACAUCUGAUUACAUUUGAUUUAUGACAGAUUUUGAACUCAAAUGCUUCUAUUUUCUGAAUCCUGAGCAUUAACAUGACAUUUACUUCUUUCUUUUUUUCAAGCAUAAGAUACUGUCUACCAUUUGGAUUUAUUUCCUAGGCUAGGGCUCCAUGCGUCCAAGUCCGGGUUCUAGUGGGAGAGAGGGAGAUCUAAUUAAAAAGAGAGAGAACCACUGUUUCAGCCAAACUCCAUAAGGUCUUGGGGCAUCCCUGUAUGAUAUUCUCACCCUGAGGGGAGAGAGCUGUUUCUUCCUGUUCUAUAGCAUCUCCAGCAGUGUGAGUGUGCAAGGACAGACUUCUUCAAGAGCAGAUUGAGACAUUGCUGGGAAGAGGCAAGAGUCAAAACGAUUCAGAAAUUUGGGUUGUAUAUGACCUUGAGCAAGUCACUUAAUCCCUGUGAGCCUCAGUUUUCACAUCUGUAGAAUGUGAAUAAUAAUCCCUAUAUUCCUCAUAGAUGAGAUCCUGUGAAGUGCUUCCUAAAUUGAGGAGGGGGUCACAAGUGUAAGCAAUAGGUAAUAAUAGUUAGAUCUGAUUUCAUCUCCCAUCUUGGACUGUAAAGACCUUAAAGUCAGGGACCAUGACAUGUUGUUUCUCAAUGUGAGCACAGGUUUUUUUUUUAAGAUGGAGUCUUGCUCUGUUGCCCAGGCUGGAGUACAAUGGCGUGACCUUGGCUCACUGCAACCUCCACUUUCCAGGUUCAAGUGAUUCUCCUGCCUCAGCCUCCUGAGUAGCUGCGACUACAGGUGCAGGCCAUUACACCUGGCUAAUUUUUGUAUUUUUAGUAGAGACGGGGUUUCAUCAUGUUGGCCAGAUUGGUCUUGAACUCCUGACCUCAGGCAAUUCUCCUGCCUCAGCCUUCCAAAGUGCUGGAAUUACAGGCACGAGCCACCAUGCCUGGCCGAGCACAAUUUUUUGAAUGGGCUUGAGAUGCUGUUCCCAAGUGUCUGGAAUGUUUUCAGGAAUGGACUUGCUAUGCAGAGCUACAUAUUUAUCUUACACAUACCUCCAUCAGGCCAAAUCUGACAAAAGUGAGUUAAGGACCAGCCUCAUUGCAUCCUGGAAAAUCCAAGCCAAAGCUCCUUCAGUAAUUUAUGGGAUUACUUAGUUCAAUUUUCCAAGAUAGUUCUGAAACAUUGAACCCAAUACACUUUGCUUCUACUUUUGCUGUGACUCAAAUAUUUCUCCUGAAAGUGCUUUCUUGCUUUCCCUCGUAUUCUUUCAGCCGUGUCAUUUGCAUCUUCACUUGCCUCUGGAUUUUCAGUUUGCCCUGUGAACUGCAUUCCUUUGCUCAGACAGGGGUGGGGAGGAAGCGUGGGCCAGGAAACCCCAGCACCCCCAGCUAAUGCACAGGAGCAGUAAGCGUGGUGAUUACUACAAUUGUUGCUAGUGGAAUAGUGAGCCAUUAGCUGGUUCUCACCCCUCUAUUAGUAUUACCCUGUAAUUUAAUCACAAUUAAUCUCCUAGGAACAUAGACAUAGGAAACAGGUGGGCAAAGGAGGCAGCUAGCAGAAAGCAACAGCAAUUGGGGGGUUCUAAUUCAAGCCACUGUUUUCAGAAAGUGCAGGGCCAAAGAAGAGUGGAGUUGGAGCUUGGAACAAGGCAAAUGGGUAAAUGAUUAAUGAGACUUGGCAUUUUAUUUUCUAGCAUUGAGGCUGGGGACUGGCAAAUAUUGAUCUCAUGUACGGGACUGGGCUUGUUUGAUAGCAAUAGGGAUUGAAAGAGGUCUUGGAAGGUGACUCAAAUCCCCUUCACUUCCUCUCCUUGGAAUCUGUGGGGAGGAAGUUCUCAGAGAAGGUUCUUACAGAGGUUCUCCAUUGUCUCAUCUGGCUUCCCACCCUGGGGUCCAAAUCAGGCUGUUGAGUCUAUGUUGCAAUCAACAUCCCUUCUGUGGCCCUGCUCUGACCAUUCUGAGGGGCUCUCAGAAGACUCAGGCCUGGAAGACUCAUGACCAUUCUCUGUGGCUAUAUGUAUUACUGGGAAGUAGAGAUGAGGGUGGUAUAUGUAGCUAGAACUGGAAGUAGAAGAAAUUGUGAGGUAGAGAAGAUUGGAUAAGGGUGUUCUUAGACCCUCCUGCAGGUCUGUUUUCCCACUCAAGCUUCAAAACCUGGGUCCCAGUGUAGAAGGGAGGAACCCAAGCAUUUAAGCCUCUCCUGUUACAUCACUCUCCUACUAUGGAACUGAUCCAUGAAGAAAAGAGUCAAUUGUGAAAGUUUCAGCCCAGCCCAGUCCCUCUAUGGCCGCAGUCAAGUUGUUAAUGGCAGAGACAGAUGAGGGCACUGUGGGAAUGUGGGGGAGAGUUGAGGGAAGGUUGGAGAAGGGCAGGGGGAGCAAGAAGUUGGGACCCCAAGCAGUUAUAAGUGAAAUUAGGAAAAACGUUGGAGGCGUCCCAUUUCCCUUUAUUCUCUCUACUUCUCUUACCAGUCAGGAUCCAGUCCUCCUACAAGUCCACUAAAGUAUUUAAUAACUGAACAUGCUUGAUAUGUUUUGGCUAUGUCCUCACCCAAAUCUCAAACUGUAGCUCCCAUAAUUCCAAUAUGUCAUGGGAGGUAUCCAGUGAGAGGUAAUUGAAUCAUGGGGAUGGGUCUUUCCUGUGCUGUUCUUAUGAUAGUGAAAAAGUCUCCCAAGAGCUGAUGGUUUUAUAAAGGGGUGUUCUCCUGCACAUGCUCUGUCUCUUACCUGCUGCCAUGUAAGACGUGACUUUGCUUCUCCUUUGCCUUCUGCCAUGAUUGUGAGGUGUCCCCAGCCACGUGGAACUAUGAGUUCAUUAAACGUCUUUUUCUUUAUAAAUUA